GACGAACGCUGGCGGCGUGCCUAAUACAUGCAAGUAGGACGCAGUUGCGAACGGGUGAGUAACGCGUAGGUAACUACCUAUUAGAGGGGGAUAACCAUUGGAAACGAUCGCUAAUACCGCAUACUAGUAGAUGGACCUUCGUUGUAUUUGCUAGUAGGUAGGGUAAUGGGCUACCUAGGCAACGAUACAUAGCCGACCUGAGAGGGUGAUCGGCCACACUGGGACCGAGACAAGGCCCAAGAUCCUAAGGGGGGCAGCAGUAGGGAAUUUUCGGCAAUGGGGGGAAACCUGAACGAACAACGCCGCGGGAGUGAAGAAGGUUUUCGGAUCGUAAAGCUCUGUUGUUAAGGAAGCGGUACUUAACCAGAAAGGGACGGCUAACUACGUGCCAGCAGCCGCGGUAAUAC
rnacentral:rRNA from 1 species